rnacentral:sRNA from 1 species
UCUCGCAGCGUUCGAGGCGCACGGUGG